GUGCCAGCAGCCGCGGUAAUACGGAGGAUCCAAGCGUUAUCCGGAAUCAUUGGGUUUAAAGGGUCCGUAGGCGGGACAAUAAGUCAGUGGUGAAAGUCUGCAGCUCAACUGUAGAACUGCCAUUGAUACUGUUGUCCUUGAGUAAUUAUGAAGUGGUUAGAAUAUGUAGUGUAGCGGUGAAAUGCAUAGAUAUUACAUAGAAUACCGAUUGCGAAGGCAGAUCACUAAUAAUUUACUGACGCUGAUGGACGAAAGCGUAGGUAGCGAACAGGAUUAGAUACCCUGGUAGUCC
rnacentral:rRNA from 1 species